rnacentral:tRNA from 1 species
GUCUUCGUGGUGCAAUGGUCAGCACAUUCGGCCCGUACUCAAGAAGUCCGUGGUUCGAGUCCCGGCAAGGGCA